UCAAAAAUCCAUCCAUCCAAGAUGCAUAGCUUUUUCAAUUGGAUCACAAAAUGACAGCUUUCGGCACUGUUUCGAAACCGUUUUCGUAGGUGGUUUUUUGCAAAAAGAUGGCUAAAUCACUGUUUGCUUCAUUUUUUCACACCCAUUAUACCCUCUGAAAAGGCAAGAGAUGAUACGAUGGGGAAGCUUGUGUGUCUGGUCAGCAGCUUAGGGCGUGAGUAGAUAGAAAGUGAGUACGUUGUCUUCCUUGUGUGGGUUGAAGAGCACCUUCGUACACGGCGACCGGAAGAAAGCAUCAUUGCAUGGUGGUUGUCGACAGAAGGAUUUGCAAUUGCAUGGUAGAAUGGAGGAACUGCCAGGGGCGUUUGGCACCAGUGCCAGCUUUGCUCUUCGAUUGGGGCAAACUGUUUUCUCCUCCGCUUCCCUUCUUUUCAUGUGCUUGGACGUUGAUUUCUAUGGCUACACCGCUUUCUGUCUUUUUGUCAUGCUACAACGGGGAAAAAGUCAUUUUGUGGAGAAGAACAUUGGAGUUCCUUUCUCAUGGGCAUUGACAAAGUGCUCAUGCAUCAGGUUAUGAUGUUUGCCUCUUGAUGAUGUGAAAAAUUGUUGAUCCAUGUCUUCCCAGAUAAACUCCAAAGGCCAACAGCAUGAACCAUUCAAGCAUAUGUGUUUGAUGUAGGGUUUAUGAAGUAAAUAUUCUACUGUUUUUGUUUUUAGUUUGUUGCAUCUUAACUCUGUAAUUUAAUAUAAAUGUGAUAUGUUAACCAGGUCCAAAUUACUUCUCCAUUCACUGUCUGUACUCAAAUG